rnacentral:rRNA from 1 species
CGGUCCUGAGUAAAGUGGCGCACGGUGAGUAACGCGUAGAUAACCUGUCUUCAUGUCUGGAAUAAUACGCCAAAGGGGUACUAAUACCGGAUAGUUCUUGCUUUUCAUAAGUUAUGCAAGCAAAGGUGGCCUCUGCAUAUGCUACUGCAUGAAGAGGGGUCUGCGUACCAUUAGCUAGUAGGUGGGGUAAUGGCCUACCUAGGCGACGAUGGUUAGCGGGUCUGAGAGGAUGAUCCGCCACACUGGCACUGGAACACGGGCCAGACUCCUACGGGAGGCAGCAGUGAGGAAUAUUGCGCAAUGGGGGAAACCCUGACGCAGCGACGCCGCGUGAGUGAGGAAGGCCUUCGGGUCGUAAAGCUCUGUCAAGAGGAAAGAAGUGUACAAUGGCUAAUACCUGUUGUAUUUGAACGGUACCUCUAAAGGAAGCACCGGCUAACUCCGUGCCAGCAGCCGC